rfam:Lupinus angustifolius cultivar Tanjil contig_1837, whole genome shotgun sequence.
AGGUGCGAUCUUACCAAGACUAAUGCACCAGAUCCCAUCAGAGCUCCGUAGUUAACCAUGUUUGGGCGAGAGUAAUACUAGGAUGGGUGACCUCCUAGGAAGUCCUCGUGUUGCUCCUC